AAUGGAGGAAACUCUGACGCAGUGACGCCGCGUAUAGGAAGAAGGUUUUCGGAUUGUAAACUAUUGUCGUUAGGGAAGAGAAAGGACAGUACCUAAGGAGGAAGCUCCGGCUAACUACGUGCCAGCAGCCGCGGUAAUACGUAGGGAGCGAGCGUUAUCCGGAAUUAUUGGGUGUAAAGGGUGCGUAGACGGGAAGAUAAGUUAGUUGUGAAAUCCCUCGGCUUAACUGAGGAACUGCAACUAAAACUGUUUUUCUUGAGUGCAGGAGAGGUAAGUGGAAUUCCUAGUGUAGCGGUGAAAUGCGUAGAUAUUAGGAGGAACACCAGUGGCGAAGGCGACUUACUGGACUGUAACUGACACUGAGACUCGAAAGCGUGGGGAUCAAA
rnacentral:rRNA from 1 species